rfam:Triticum aestivum genome assembly, contig: Triticum_aestivum_CS42_TGACv1_scaffold_061455_1DL
AUACUACUCUCUCCAUCCAGAAAUACUUGUCAUCAAAAUUGAUAAAAGGGGAUGUAUCUAGAUGUAUUUUAGUUCUAGAUACAUCUCUUUUUAUUCAUUUUGAUGACAAGUAUUUUCGGACGGAGGGAGUAGAUG